rnacentral:lncRNA from 1 species
CUAAACUAAGGGCCUCGCCGGUGGUCCGGUCGAAGGAGGCUAAGCAAUGGCCGACGGCUGUUACACAGAAACGGUAAAUAAGGAAAACUGAAACCUAGUUGUGUAUUUAACGUUGUCUGAACGGUGAGGUAAAGUCUCAUCCGUUCAUCACGAUGGAAGACUCGGCUUCUCGCCAUGAAGGUGUUGUAUCUGGCUCCUCACGCCCAAGUCGGGCCAGCGGAACUGCUGAGGAAGAAGCGGACCCUGGAUGGGUGAACAAGCUGACUGAAGAAGCUUACCAACUUGUGAAGGAUACCCGAUUCCCAGGAGUCAGAGGCAAAAGGAAACGAGUGAAGUUGCUGGAAAGACAACCAACUGCACGGGACAGGCCAAGGGAACCAGGUGAACAAGUGUCUACACCUGACUAUUGUGAAACAGUGGAUAUUUCCUGCUUAGACAAAACUGAAACUACGACAGAAAGGGAGCAAAGAGAUGAUCCAUCUUGGACAUUAGGAAAUCUGGGUGCACAAAUGUCUACCCCUUACUACUCUGAAACAAUGGAUAUUUCCUGCCUUGACCAAACUGCAGGUAUUCCAGAAAGGGAGCAAAGAGAUGAUCCAUCUUGGACAUUGGGAAAUCAGGGUGCACAAAUGUCUACCCCUGACUAUUGUGAUACAGUGGAUUUUUCCUGCUUUGACCAAACUGCAGGUAUUCCAGAAAGGGAGCAAACAGAUGACCCAUUUUGGACAUUAGGAAAUCUAGACAUGCAAUUGUGGCCAGAUGACUAUUGGGAAACAGUGGUACUUACCUGCUAUGACCAAGCUGAAUGUUUAACAGCAAGUGAACCAAGAGAUGAUGCAUCUUGGGCAUUAGAAAAUCAAGGUGAACAAGUGUCUACCCCUCACUAUUGGGAUACAGUGGGUAUUUCCUGCUUAGACCAAACUGAAGAUAUGCCAGAAAGGGAGCAAAGAGAUGAUCCAUCUUGGACAUUGGGAAAUCAGGGUACACAGUUGUAUCCAGAUGACUAUUGUGAAAGAGCGGAACUUUCCAGUUUUGUGCAAACUGAAGGUAUGAAAGAAAGCUAAGAGAUGAUACAUCUUGGACAUUAGGAAAUCAGGGUAACUGGAUUAGAAUUGAGCUGUGGAUUGAAAGAAAUACCUUUGACAUGCCCUACACAGUGUUA